rnacentral:tRNA from 1 species
AGCCUUGGUACACUUCAAUGUACGUCUUCAGAUUUGCACUCUGACGUGAACCACUACAAGAC